ACCCAGCCUCCCCUCUCAGGCAAGUGGAAUUUCAAUCAUAAACAGUUUUUAUUCGACGAGGAAGGUGUCUCGCCGACGGAUAUUGUCACGGAAGCAAGAAGAUGAACGGAGUUCAAAUCGUAGUUACAUGAAGGGUAAUCACUGGCGAAAAAAUCGCUAUUGUUAAGAAAAAUACAAAACGAGACUAAAGAUGUUCGAAGUUCAAAUCGUAGUUUCGUAGACAGAUAAGAAUCCCCCGCUUGGAAAAUAAAUAAAAAAUAUUAAAGAGCUAAAAGUUAAAUCGUAGCUCUGUGAAAAGUGAAAAUCAGAGAAAAAUUGCCGACUGGAAACAAAAUUUCGAAAAUUCCGAAUUUGAGAGGAUGCCAAUACCAAUUUGUGGCCAAAAAGUCGACAAGGAAUUUUUGUCUUUGUUUAUUUAUUAUUUUACUCGUUUCUAAAUUUUCUUUUCAAUUAAUUGUUAAUUUUUCCAAGAUAAAUAUUGUAAGUUUUUAAAUAAUCAUUAGUAAUAAGUUUAUAUGGUACUAGUAUUUUUUAUAUAAUGAUUUUUUUUAAAGUUUUUUUUUAAUAAUGUAAUUAAUGAUGGUUUAAUUUCGUAGAAUAGGUA